GCAGUCGUGGCUGGGUGGUUAAGGCAAUGAACUAGAAAUUCAUUGGGGUGUCCCCGCGCAGGUGCGAAUUCUGUCAACUGUG
rnacentral:tRNA from 2 species